CUUACACAUGCAAGUCGAGGGGUAUAGUUCUUCGGAGCUAGAGACCGGCGCACGGGUGCGUAACGCGUAUGCAAUCUACCUUUUACAGAGGGAUAGCCCAGAGAAAUUUGGAUUAAUACCUCAUAGUAUGUGAGAAUCGCAUGGUUUUCACAUUAAAGUCACAACGGUAAAAGAUGAGCAUGCGUCCCAUUAGCUAGAUGGUAAGGUAACGGCUUACCAUGGCAACGAUGGGUAGGGGUCCUGAGAGGGAGAUCCCCCACACUGGUACUGAGACACGGACCAGACUCCUACGGGAGGCAGCAGUGAGGAAUAUUGGACAAUGGGCGCAAGCCUGAUCCAGCCAUGCCGCGUGCAGGAUGACGGUCCUAUGGAUUGUAAACUGCUUUUGUACAGGAAGAAACACUCCCUCGUGAGGGAGCUUGACGGUACUGUAAGAAUAAGGAUCGGCUAACUCCGUGCCAGCAGCCGCGGUAAUACGGAGGAUCCAAGCGUUAUCCGGAAUCAUUGGGUUUAAAGGGUCCGUAGGCGGUUUAAUAAGUCAGUGGUGAAAGCCCAUCGCUCAACGGUGGAACGGCCAUUGAUACUGUUAAACUUGAAUUAUUAGGAAGUAACUAGAAUAUGUAGUGUAGCGGUGAAAUGCUUAGAGAUUACAUGGAAUACCAAUUGCGAAGGCAGGUUACUACUAAUGGAUUGACGCUGAUGGACGAAAGCGUGGGUAGCGAACAGGAUUAGAUACCCUGGUAGUCCACGCCGUAAACGAUGGAUACUAGCUGUUGGGAGCAAUCUCAGUGGCUAAGCGAAAGUGAUAAGUAUCCCACCUGGGGAGUACGUUCGCAAGAAUGAAACUCAAAGGAAUUGACGGGGGCCCGCACAAGCGGUGGAGCAUGUGGUUUAAUUCGAUGAUACGCGAGGAACCU
rnacentral:rRNA from 1 species